rnacentral:rRNA from 1 species
CUAGGGCCAUACCACCCUGAAUGCGCCCGAUAUUCUCUGAUCUCGGAAGCUAAGCAGGGUCGGGCCUGGUUAGUACUUGGACGGGAGAAUUCUAGGAGACAGGACAGCGGCCUAAU